rnacentral:rRNA from 1 species
AAUAGAUACCCCGGUAGUCCUAGCCGUAAACGAUGAACACUAGGCGUAGUCGGUAUCGACCCCGGCUGUGCCGUAGCUAACGCAUUAAGUGUUCCGCCUGGGGAGUACGGCCGCAAGGCUAAAACUCAAAGGAACUGACGGGGGCCCGCACAAGCAGCGGAGCGUGUGGUUUAAUUCGUCGCAACGCGAAGAACCUUACCAGGGCUUGACAUGUGGCGGAAAACGGCGGAAACGCCGUCCUCCCGCAAGGGACCGUCAUGCAGGUGUUGCAUGGCUGUCGUCAGCUCGUGUCGUGAGAUGUUGGGUUAAGUCCCGCAACGAGCGCAACCCCCGUGGCAUGUUGUAUCUCUCAUGCCAGACUGCCGAGAGAAACUCGGAGGAAGGUGGGGAUGACGCCAAGUCAGCAUGGCCCUUACGGUCCUGGGGCUACACACACGCUACAAUGGCCGGUACAACGGGUUGCCAAACCGCGAGGCGGAGCUAAUCCCUUAAAGCCGGUCUCAGUUCGGAUUGCAGGCUGCAACUCGCCUGCAUGAAGCCGGGU